UCUGCUAGGGUUUUCUUUCGCCCCCUUUUUGCACCGCCGCUGCAAACGGCCUCCGUCGCGUUUUCGCCGAUUGGAGAUACGACGUGAUGAGCUCCGAAGGUAUGAAGGUUGUUGAGGGAUGCCGCGCACGUGGAGGCGCAACUCUCGCGGAGGAGGCCUCUAGCUCCGAGUUGUGCGCCGAUUGGGACUGUUGGAGGCGGGGGCUGCUGCUAGGAUUUCUCAACCCUUCCCUUUUCCAUUAGUUUCGGGCCUGGAUUAGGAAUUAGCUAUUGGGCUUGUUGGGCUGUCAUUAUUUUGGGCCUGUAAUUAGGUUUAAUUUUUUUUUGGCCCGGGCAUAUUUGGGCUUGUACAAGGAGGAUUGUUUAUCUUAUACAUCCAAGUUACUAGGUGAAGAUUAUCUCUUA